rnacentral:rRNA from 1 species
GAUGAACGCUGGCGGCGUGCCUAAUACAUGCAAGUCGAACGCUGGAGAUCUAGCUUGCUAGAUCGAAGGAGUGGCGAACGGGUGAGUAAUACAUAAGCAACCUACCCACGAAGACUGGGAUAAUCUCUGGAAACGGGGACUAAUACCGGAUAGGUAAUCGGAAGGCAUCUUCUGGUUAUUAAAGGUUAAAAACACUGGUGGAUGGGCUUAUGGCGCAUUAGUUAGUUGGUAGGUAACGGCCCCACCAAGCGAUGAUGCGUAGCCGGCCUGAGAGGGUGAACGGCCACAUUGGGACUGAGACACGGCCCAGACUCCUACGGGAGGCAGCAGUAGGGAAUUUUCGGCAAUGGGGGCAACCCUGACCGUGCAACGCCGCGUGAGUGAAGACAGCCUUCGGGUUGUAAAGCUCUGUUGUAAGGGAAGAACGGUAGAUAGAGAAUAUCUAAGUGACGGUACCUUACCAGAAAGCCA